GGAAGGUGGUGGAGGAUGUUAAGGUGGUGGAAGAGAUUAAGAAAAGUGAUGAGGUUUCCAAGGCAUCAGAAGCCAUUGCGGAUGUUAGGUCUGAGGUUGAUAAGCUUUCAGAUAGGGUUGCUGCCUUGGAAGUAGCUGUUAAUGGGGGCACACAUGUUGCAGACAAGGAAUUCGUAGUAUCAACAGAGCUGCUGAUGAGGCAAUUGUUGAAAUUGGA
rnacentral:misc_RNA from 1 species